GAUUAGCUAGUAGGUGGGGUAACGGCUCACCUAGGCGACGAUCCCUAGCUGGUCUGAGAGGAUGACCAGCCACACUGGAACUGAGACACGGUCCAGACUCCUACGGGAGGCAGCAGUGGGGAAUAUUGCACAAUGGGCGCAAGCCUGAUGCAGCCAUGCCGCGUGUAUGAAGAAGGCCUUCGGGUUGUAAAGUACUUUCAGCGGGGAGGAAGGGAGUAAAGUUAAUACCUUUGCUCAUUGACGUUACCCGCAGAAGAAGCACCGGCUAACUCCGUGCCAGCAGCCGCGGUAAUACGGAGGGUGCAAGCGUUAAUCGGAAUUACUGGGCGUAAAGCGCACGCAGGCGGUUUGUUAAGUCAGAUGUGAAAUCCCCGGGCUCAACCUGGGAACUGCAUCUGAUACUGGCAAGCUUGAGUCUCGUAGAGGGGGGUAGAAUUCCAGGUGUAGCGGUGAAAUGCGUAGAGAUCUGGAGGAAUACCGGUGGCGAAGGCGGCCCCCUGGACGAAGACUGACGCUCAGGUGCGAAAGCGUGGGGAGCAAACAGGAUU
rnacentral:rRNA from 1 species